AUUUGAAUUGUGCCAUCCUGUCAAAAAAACAAAUGUCACUACCACUUUGUUAAAAUGAAUUGAAAUAUGAAAGUAUAAAUGUAAGUAAGAAAUAUGCAAGUAUGUUUAAACACGGACUGUGAAAAGGUCAUCAAUGAUUUUGAACUUGCUUUAUCGUGAAUGUUCAAAUGUAAACGUUUAUUAAUUAAAACGAUUCAAAACACGACUUAAAAUAAACAAAUCUCAAUUUAAGAAAUCUAUCAUACCAAAAUCGGCCACAAAAUAUUGAACUGACAAUCGAAAUUUUCAUGUUUGUUUAACUCAAAUAAAUUAGAGAGUCGAUUAGGCGCAAGGUUGUCAAUAUAUCGAAUUUAUACAUGGUUCGGUUAAAAGCACUCAGAAUAUGAAAAAUUUCACGUUAAAAACAACUUUUAUCCAUCCAAAUCAAAGAUAAGAUGUAUAUUUGUCUUAAUAUAUAUGUCAUAUACGUGCAAUGAAGUAAUAACAGUUGAAUAAAAUGCUGAGGUAAAUCAUUUACCUGUAGAAUGCACUCUUGAGGUUUAAAACGUGAGCGAUUUACGGCAAACGUGACGGCAAGCUCCUGGUCACGUGGUUUCUAGCGGUUAGCGGUUAUAGACGUUUGCGAAAAAUACGUCAAUCUUAAGGUGUCUAUUGAGUUAUAUCAACACGGCUCUUAGCCGGUAAAUAUUAUAAUAAAUUAUAAUAUUUACCAAUUUUAUAGCUUCUCUGGAUUACAGUUAAACGUUUUUUGAGCUUUCAACUUUCAUGGUAAGUCGAGUUUUCACCAGAUCGAAGGAUUGAUUGAAUUUUUGCGCUGUUGUUGACGUUGUCUGUGGGAUUACGUCUGAUUGGUUAAUGAUUUUAGUAGGUUGACUGUCAUUGACUACUAUGGAAUGCGAGUGAUUAUUAUCAUCAUUGGAGUGGGUAAGUAAGGAUGAAUUUGGAGUUUUGGAAGCGAAAACGUAAGGUCAAAAAUUUUCAUAUAAAAUCCAGAGAACGGUAUAUAAUUUGUAAUUAUGAUUUAAUAAAAUGCCUUGAUUAAAUAUCUUCGAGUCUAUUAAACCGUUGAAUAUAUAGAUUUUGAGUAGAUAAAUAGUAAACAUG
rnacentral:lncRNA from 1 species